rnacentral:rRNA from 1 species
GACGAACGCUGGCGGCGUGCUUAAUACAUGCAAGUCAACUGAACUUGAGGUAGCAAUAUCACAAGAGAGGUGGCGCACGGGUGAGUAACACGUAGGUAAUCUGCCUUUAGGUCUGACAUAAUUCCGCGAAAGCGGGACUAAUAUCAGAUGAUGCAGCGGCUCGACAUCGAGACAGUUGUUAAACCUUCGGGGCCUAAAGAUGAGCCUGCGUCUGAUUAGGUAGUUGGCGGAGUAAAAGCCCACCAAGCCUGCGAUCAGUAGCUGGUCUGAGAGGAUGAUCAGCCACACUGGAACUGAGACACGGUCCAGACUCCUACGGGAGGCAGCAGUAAGGAAUAUUGCUCAAUGGCCGAAAGGCUGAAGCAGCAACGCCGCGUGGAGGAUGAAAUACUUUUGUAUGUAACUCCUGUAAGAGGGAAAAUGUCCGAUUUAUCGGGAUUGAUUGUACCCUCAGAGUAAGCCCCGGCUAACUACGUG